rnacentral:rRNA from 1 species
AGUGAACGCUGGCGGCAGGCCUAACACAUGCAAGUCGAACGGCAGCACAGUAAGAGCUUGCUCUUACGGGUGGCGAGUGGCGGACGGGUGAGGAAUACAUCGGAUACCACUUUUACGUGGGGGAUAACGUAGGGAAACUUAUGCUAACACCGCAUAUGUCGUACGGGUGAAGGCAGGGGAUCUUCGCACUUUGCGCGAUUGUAUGAGCCGAUGUCGGAUUAGAUAGUUGGCGGGGUAAAGGACCACCAAGGCAACGAUGCGUAGCUGGUCCGACAGGAUGGUCGGCCACACUGGAACUGAGACACGGUCCAGACUCCUACGGGAGGCAGCAGUAGGGAAUCUUACGCAAUGGGCGAAAGCCUGAUACAGCAAAACCGCGUGAGUGAUGAAGGACUUCGGGUUGUAAAGCCCUGUUGUUGGGAAAGAAAAGAAGCAGGUUUAUCCGCCGCUAUACUGACGGUACCCAAAGAAUAAGCACCGGCUAACUUCGUG